GAUGAACGCUAGCGGGAGGCUUAACACAUGCAAGUCGAGGGGCAGCACGAGGUAGCAAUACUUUGGUGGCGACCGGCAGACGGGUGAGUAACGCGUAUGUAACCUACCCUGUACAGGGGGAUAGCCCGGAGAAAUUCGGAUUAAUACCCCAUAAAGAUAUGAGAAGGCAUCUUUUUAUAUUUAAAGCUUCGGCGGUACGGGAUGGGCAUGCGUGACAUUAGCUAGUUGGUAGGGUAACGGCCUACCAAGGCCACGAUGUCUAGGGGUCCUGAGAGGGUGAUCCCCCACACUGGUACUGAGACACGGACCAGACUCCUACGGGUGCUG
rnacentral:rRNA from 1 species